UACAGAGGGGGCAAGCGUUGUUCGGAAUUACUGGGCGUAAAGGGCGCGUAGGCGGCCUUCUAAGUCAUGCGUGAAAUCCCCGGGCUCAACCCGGGAACUGCGUCUGAUACUGGAAGGCUCGAAUCCGGGAGAGGGAUGUGGAAUUCCAGGUGUAGCGGUGAAAUGCGUAGAUAUCUGGAGGAACACCGGUGGCGAAGGCGGCAUCCUGGACCGGCAUUGACGCUGAGGCGCGAAAGCCAGGGGAGCAAACGGG
rnacentral:rRNA from 1 species